rnacentral:rRNA from 1 species
GACGAACCGAGCGAACGUUAUUCGGAAUCACUGGGCUUAAAGGGCGCGUAGGCGGCAGUUCAAGUCCGGGGUGAAAUCCUCCAGCUCAACUGGAGAAGUGCCUUGGAUACUGGAUUGCUCGAGGGAGGUAGGGGUCGAGGGAACUUCUGGUGGAGCGGUGAAAUGCGUUGAUAUCAGAAGGAACGCCGGUGGCGAAAGCGCUCGACUGGACCUCUUCUGACGCUGAGGCGCGAAAGCUAGGGGAGCAAACGGG